CCUACGGGGGGCAGCAGUGGGGAAUAUUGGGCAAUGGGCGCAAGCCCGAUCCAGCCAUGCCGCGUGAGUGAAGAAGGCCUUAGGGUUGUAAAGCUCUUUCACCGGUGAAGAUAAUGACGGUAACCGGAGAAGAAGCCCCGGCCAACUUCGUGCCAGCAGCCGCGGUAAUACGAAGGGGGCUGGCGUUGUUCGGAAUUACUGGGCGUAAAGCGCGCGUAGGCGGAUAGAUAAGUCAGAGGUGAAAUCCCGGGGCUCAACCCCGGAAUUGCCUUUGAUACUGUUUAUCUUGAGUGCAGAAGAGGUAAGUGGAAUUCCGAGUGUAGAGGUGAAAUUCGUAGAUAUUCGGAGGAACACCAGUGGCGAAGGCGGCUUACUGGUCUGCAACUGACACUGAGGCGCGAAAGCGUGGGGAGCAAACAGGAUUAGAUACCCUGGUAGUC
rnacentral:rRNA from 1 species